rnacentral:rRNA from 1 species
CCUACGGGUGGCAGCAGUGGGGAAUAUUGGACAAUGGGGGGAACCCUGAUCCAGCGACGCCGCGUGAGUGAAGAAGUAUUUCGGUAUGUAAAGCUCUAUCAGCAGGGAAGAAAGAAAUGACGGUACCUGACUAAGAAGCCCCGGCUAACUACGUGCCAGCAGCCGCGGUAAUACGUAGGGGGCAAGCGUUAUCCGGAUUUACUGGGUGUAAAGGGAGCGUAGACGGCAGCGCAAGUCUGGAGUGAAAUGCCGGGGCCCAACCCCGGAACUGCUUUGGAAACUGUGCAGCUGGAGUGCAGGAGAGGUAAGCGGAAUUCCUAGUGUAGCGGUGAAAUGCGUAGAUAUUAGGAGGAACACCAGUGGCGAAGGCGGCUUACUGGACUGUAACUGACGUUGAGGCUCGAAAGCGUGGGGAGCAAACAGGAUUAGAUACCCGUGUAGUC